rnacentral:rRNA from 1 species
GACGAACGCUGGCGGCGUGCUUAACACAUGCAAGUCGAACGGAAAGGCCCUGCUUUUGUGGGGUGCUCGAGUGGCGAACGGGUGAGUAACACGUGAGUAACCUGCCCUUGACUUUGGGAUAACUUCAGGAAACUGGGGCUAAUACCGGAUAGGAGCUCCUGCUGCAUGGUGGGGGUUGGAAAGUUUCGGCGGUUGGGGAUGGACUCGCGGCUUAUCAGCUUGUUGGUGGGGUAGUGGCUUACCAAGGCUUUGACGGGUAGCCGGCCUGAGAGGGUGACCGGCCACCUUGGGACUGAGAUACGGACCAGACUCCUACGGGAGGCAGCAGUGGAGAAUAUUGCACAAUGGGCGGAAGCCUGAUGCAGCAACGCCGCGUGCGGGAUGACGGCCUUCGGGUUGUAAACCGCUUUCGCCUGUGACGAAGCGUGAGUGACGGUAAUGGGUAAAGAAGCACCGGCUAACUACGUG